GGCCGUGUGGCUCAAUGGCAGAGCGUUACUUUCCGGUUCAUCACAAAGAACUUAUGUAUUUCUGUUUGGUAAAGGUUCUGGGUUCGAAUCCCAGCAUGGUCG